UGUCUGUGUGAGUGCGUGUGUGUGUGCGUGUGUGUGUGUGUGUGUGUGUGUUAUGAGAGUGAAUGACACCCUGAGCAGCUGGUGGGUCGGGCCUAGCGGACUAACGGGGACUGCUUAAGGGAAAUGAGAACAGAGCGCAUGCGGGACACAUCUUUGGCCUGCUUGCUGGACUUGGGGUUGAAGUCGCAGAGCCGCGCCACUCUCUCCCACUCUGUGCCAGGGUUGUUCUCAUCCAGAUCUGAAAUCAUGGCCUCCUCCGCCGCCCUACGUGCAACAGCAACAGGGGAAGAGGACAGUGGAAAAAGUAAUGUGAGUGGGCGAAAGUGUAAA